CUGUGAGCCAAAGAAACCGCUUUUCUUUAUAAAUUACCCAGUUUCAGGUAUUUCCUUGCAGCAACAUGAAAGACUAAUACAGUGGGGCCCACCAAGCUGCCUCGUAGCCGGAGGGAAUCUCUUUGGCCAACAGUUGGCCUUGAGAAUGUCAAACAGACAUGCAGAAUCUAAGAAAACACAGAACGGGCAGACAGAGAGUGGGCUUUUCCUUCAUGUUGGGUAUUAGAAAAGGGGAGAUUCCCAUUCCUGAGGCUGUGUCAGGGUGUGGGGGGUGUGGCCUGCCCUGGCCUGAGGUGUGCUCCUUUUAAGACUUCCCACCCAUUGGUCAAAGCGUCCACCCUGAAUGGACCAGGUUGCUGGUGGACACUGAUCCCUGUGGCCAGGGCCUCCGAGCAUUUGGUGUUCAGCUCAUCGGGGACUCUGUGGACACCAGAGGGCAGAAUGGGGUCUGUCUGCCCAAAAGCCCCGUGGGGAGUGAGCGUGAAUUACCCCAGAGUCUGUGUAGGGAAGCCUCCUGGAGCCUGGUGCUUUCUCCUUUACAGUGGCUUUCAGUUUGUGGAUUUUUCUGAAGUUAUUGGCCUUGGAGCUUGCGUCAAGUUUCCCGAAGACCACUCCCAGUGUUGGUGAUUUUCUCAGGAGGACUCACAGCCCUCAUCACGUGGUGCUAUCCUCACAGCAUGGUUCAUUACUACGAAAGGACACAGAGCAAGCCAGCAGGGGAAAGUCACGUGGGGCAGAGUCCGGGGAUCUGGGCGCAAGUUCCCAAGAGCCUGUCCUGGUGCAGCUACACAGGACAAGGUUAUUUUCUCCAGUGUCAGGUUAUGACAACACUUGUGAACUGUCAGCUACAGGAUACUCUUAGGGACUCAGCGCCCAGGGUUUUUACUAGGGCGUAGCAUGUACCCAAAUUCUAGGCUCCCUGAGGGAAAGCAGGUGUUCAGUGGAAAGCACACUUGUUAAAAGUGGCUGAGGCACAGGGAGCCACCCUUACCAUCUGGGGACGCUGGGGAUCCUGCAGCCCACUGUGCAGGGAUGGGGGUGCCGUGCUGCAUCCCAGGGCUGAGGAGGAUUGUUUGGCUGGGGGGCUCUGUCAGUAGAAUGCAGAGGGGAGGGUCCCUCCUGAUGUUCCCAGGAGUGAAGGCAGCUCUUCAUAGUGAGUCUAGUGUUGGGCCCUGCACUAACACAAGCAGGUGCCCGGCAGGCGUUUGCCGAGGGAGGGGAAGAAUGAAGCAAUGUAUGGUGGGGUUUCUAGAACCCUCCCUGGGGAUGGCUUCUCCGUGGAGGGUAGUGAAUCCCACAGCCCCACAAGGCCCUCAGCUGGGGUGAGUUUCAGGCCACAGCGGCUCACUGGCCCUGUGACCUGAUGUGAGGGCCACCAGGGCAGGGCUUUUAGAUGCUUCCCCUGUGCUGUGUUCUCGGAGGCCUGAACACAGAGGCUCACUAAAUACUUGCUUGUUGAGAAAGGCCAAUCCCUAAACAAACCACUGUGAUGGGGGCUUAGCAGAUGCCAGUUGACUUAGCUUGUCCCCACUGUCCUUGGAGCCUGAGGCAAAAGGAGCUUCCCCUCAUGCACCAGAGACCCUUCCCUUCUGUGGGAAGAGGAAAGGGUUACCUGGGAGACUCUGUCCUGUUCUGGCACAGGAAGGGGGAAAGGACAUGGCUAGCAAGCUUGGCGGGGGCCACUGCAUGUGGCUUGGGCUGCUGCCCAUAGGCAGGAUGUCCUCUGUGGCCAGGGGCUGGCUGAUUUCCGCCUUGUGUUUUUGCCUCUUUGCUCUUCUGGGAGGAGGAAGCUGGAUCUGGGAGUGGGGCAAGGGGAGGCUGGCGGCUGCAGGAGGGAUGCCUGAAACCCAGCCUUCCUUGGUCCGUGGCCUGAGGUGAGGCCACACAGGGUGGUGAUGGCCUGCCCUUGCUGGAGCACGUGCAGCUUCUGCGUCAUGAGCUUGGAGACCAGGGCCACGCUCUGUGUUGUCAUCUGUGCUGCUUCCCUGUCCCCAGGGCUACUUAGCCCCUUCGGGAACUGCCCCUUCCUGCAGGGGUGACAGGGAUCCCUCCCUGAGGCAGAACUCCACCCCCGAAGCCCAUGUGGCCCUUCCCUGGCAUGUGCUCCCUUGCCAAGGGAGCUACCAUGGAAGGUGUCUCAUGGGUUCCUGGGGGCUGCCUCUGAGCUGUGCCGGCUGUUCUCCACAUGAGGGCCCUGGCAGACGGACCACUGGGCUGGAAUCCAUGCUCUGCACCCUGGGCUGGGCUGUUCUGUCCAGAGGAAGGGGCUCCCCCUCCCACUUCUCACAAAGGGACCCUGUGGACGAGCAGGGGCAGGGGAGCCUGGCACAGCCCAGGCGGGGCAGGCUCUUCUCCCUGUAGUGCCCAGAUUAUGACGAGUGACCCGGUUCCUGGGCUGCUGUUACGUGUGCGGGGCUCUGAGCUGCUUCUGCAGGUUCUGCUGCAACCACAGUAUUAGGGUGCAAGGAACAUGGGGUGAGGGCCUUGGAGCUGCCGGGGCUCUUGGAGCUUUGUCCUUAGCGCUUGCCAGCUUUGGAGAACUUGCCUGCAGUUCCCAGUGUGGCUGAGAGUACAGACUUGAAGGACACACAGAGAAAGGGCAAGGUCGAGCUUGGCCUUUGCAUCUGGAUGGUGGCCAGGCUGUUGGCCACACCCUGGGGGUAGUUUAUGUGACAGCUGUUGCCUCCACUGGUUGGGGCAGGACUGCUGGGUGGUAGUACUGUGGAGAGCUCACGUUGGCUUCACUGCAAGGCCCGCAGUUGCCCCUCAUGUCUGUUUCUCUACUUGUCCAUCUGGAAACUCUACCCAAGCUCCAAGACUCAGCCCAAAGUCUCCUCCUCUGUGAAACCACCCUGCCCGUAGCCUGACUCUCCAGGGAGAAUUAAUUACUUUUAGAAGAAACACACACUCAUUCCACCUUCCGAGGACAGCAUCUUGCUCUAGUGACUCAGUCUGGGAAAGACAAAAACUGUGAUUUGAUGGAGUGAUUGUUGGUGCUCUUGGCAGUGUGUGUGUGUGUGUGUGUGCACGUGGAGGUUGUGUGUAUACAUGUGUAUGUAUGCAUGUGUGUACCAGCACACACACAGGAAAGUGCAUGGGUAGGCUUAGUAAUCUAGAACCUCUUAAGCAUCACCCAGGGCUUGUGAUGGGGCCUGUUGAUUUAUCGUCUUAUCAUGAUGUUUUUACCUGAAACUAUUUUCAGCUCGAUUUCUGUUUGACAGGGUACCGAGUGAGACCCAGCUGACCUGGAAAAUGACAGGGACACUUUUUAUCCUUCCAACUUAACCUUUCCGUCCUGACUUAACCUUUCCCUCUUUGACACAAAUGAAGAAAUUAGGGCUCUUGACUGCUACUGAUUUAAGGGGAUUACAGAGGCACUGCCAGCGAGCAUGAGCACAAGAGUUUAGCGCCUCUCGGCAGCUGAGAGAGGAUGCUGCAUACUUGGGGCCUGGGACCUCCGAGAAGACCUUCUUCAGCCGAAAGCACACCUUAUUCUUGUCCCAGUUGAAGGCUUCCCAACGGUCUUCAUGUGGCACUUGCUGUGUGCCAGGCCCCACUCUGGGCACUUGGUUUAUUUAAUUCUAACCAUGGUCCUAGGUGAUGGGCGCUGGUAUGACUGUGGGAAAGGGACAAGGUGGGAGAUGUGAACGAACUUCCGGAGCCCUCCCUCGGGCAGCCUAGCUCCCCGCCUCCUCCAACACCUUCUGUUGCUUUUCCAGCACAGCCAGUACUGGGCUCUUGGGUUCGAGCACGGGGCGGGGUGAAGGGUGCUGGGAGGUCACAUUCUUGCUUCCCAGCACUGAAGACUGGAAGAAUGAAUGGCACAGAUGAACAAGGCCGUCCUGCAUCCGCCGCUCACUAGAGGCUUCACAGCUGCGUAGGGACACAGGACAUCUGUACAAUAAAUACCAAUGGUAUUAGUGCCCUAGGGCUGCAGGAACAAAGCACCACAGACUGGGGGUGCUGGAACAGCAGAAACUCAGGCUCUCCCAUUUCUGGAUGCCGGAAGUCCAAAAUCUAGUGUCGGCAGGGCUGUGUCCUCUCUGAGGUUUCCAGGGGAGGAGGCUUCCUUGCUUCUCUGGCUUCUGGUGGUGGCUGGCAAUGCUCGGCAUUCCUUGGCUUAUGGACGCAGCACUGAAAUUGCAGCCCUUAUCUUCAUGUGGCCUUCCUUGUGGCGCUCUGUGUCCAAAUGUCCCUCUCCUCUAAGGACACCAGUCAUCGGAUUAGGCCAGCUCUAAUCCGGUGUGCCUCAUCUUGAUUUAACUAACUACAUCUGCAAAGACACUAUUUCCAGAUUACGUCACGUUCCGAGGUUCCUGGUGGACGUGAAUUUUUGGAAGACGCUGUCCAACCUGGGACACCAGCCAGCCCCUCUCUGGCUCCCUCAGUCCCUCCACCCUUCGGAAGUGGUAAAUGGUGGCUUGCUAACAGCGCCUGUAGCAGCCACCUCCUGGUGAUGGCAAAGGAAGGGCCCUCUCAGUCAUAGGGGCCAAUGGCGAGGAGGACCUGGGACGUGGUGCACUGAGCAUUUUCCCUUCUCAGCAGCUCACUCCUUUGUGUGUCUGUGAUGCGAAGGCUGUGACAUCAGUCAGCCUCAUGGAGAACUGGAACAACGGGCUCUGUGUCUUUGGAGAACGCGUCAAGACCAGGGCCUCUUCCCCUGCUCCCAUGGUUCCCAGCGUUCUUGUCUCCUGAGAGAGGAUGUAGUGGGUGUCAUGUUCAGCAUCGCAACUGGCCUCCGUGGAAACCAGGGUGGAGCUCAGACGGGUGUGGGGGGAGCAUGUGACUGAGCUCCUUCCCACUCUCUCUCCGGCACACACGGAGUCAGUGUAGGGAGGUGAUGGGUAGACUCAGCCUGUGGGAUUCUGGCCUGGCUUCCCGGCAGCAAGCAGGAGCUUCAGAUGCUCAUUCCCGCCGCGGUCGGCUGUGGCGGCGACUCAUACCCGUUUCCGCUCGAAUGAUGCCAGCUGUCCUGCUGCGCCACCUUCCUCUGUCCUCGCAUCCGCUGAUGGGAUUUCCGGUCGCUUCCACUUUGUGGCUCUUUUGAAGAAUGCCGCUAGGAACAUUCACACGCAGGUUCUUGGCCAUAAAAUAUGGCUUUUGGAAAAAUAAAGCUGAGACUUGGAGUUCACGGUGGGGGCUCCCCCAUCUGUGAACAGAAGCAGAAGUUUGGAACUGCCUUCUUUACUGCUCGAGAGGGAAAACUUGAGUGAAAACCAGGAUGCUGGCGAAUGUUGAGUAGCUAAGCUGCACAGGAAAUACCACUUGAUGACCUGCGAUCUGGGGAAGCCGCGCCAGGGCUCUGCGAAGCUGCGGACGAGGGAGGCGUCAGUGUGGGGGCUGCAGCUCAGCUCCGGGGGGGACGCGCCUUUCUCCACGGGACCUGGGGCUCAGGUGCUCACGAGGCUGGGGCGCUGCAGGCCACCCGCAGGGGAAACUGAGGCCCUCCAUUUUGUGGGGCUGGAAGACCUUUCCUUCCAAAAGCAGGUGUAGGCGGGAGCACCUGUGCAGUCCCUCUGUUCAGAUCCUCACCCACUUUUAAAUCAGGAAACAGCAGAUGAAAUGCACAGUGUGAAGGACAAGGAUUCUGCUGAGAGAAUUGCUCCGAGGGUUGCUCAAGUGAUCAUGGGAAAUAAUGCAUCAAACCAUUCUUUAGAUGCAGCUCAGGUGUGCCUUUUCUUCGCCUGUGCCCAUCCACCUGAGAUGGACCAUAACCAUAAAAGUCAGAAGGCACUGACCCUUCAGGACGUGACAGGGUUAAAAGAUGCUGGAGGGAAAGUCUGUCAUUGACUUUUAUUCACUUCCUUUCUCCAUUCUGCCAUUUGGAAGAAGGUAAGCAACUUAACACUAUUUUAGACCAUAUGUUGUAAACUAGCAGGAAAAUGCCUUUGAGCUGAUGAUGGUGGCCCGAACACAGUGAACCUGUCUUAAAUCCCUGCUUUAAACCCUUAAGGGUGUCACUUACAAGAGAUACUAUUUGAAGUCUUCCCAUGCAUGUGUAGGGUGGGGGGAGUACCAACAGCUCAUCGAAUGGGCUCCAUUUGAAAGAUCUGGAUGGUUGCCUUUAUUUGUAACUAGUUUCUUUUCUUUUUUUUUUU
rnacentral:lncRNA from 1 species